rnacentral:rRNA from 1 species
CCUACGGGUGACUGCAGUGGGGAAUAUUGGACAAUGGGGGGAACCCUGAUCCAGCCAUGCCGCGUGUGUGAAGAAGGCCCUCGGGUUGUAAAGCACUUUCAGUGAGGAAGAACGCCUGGUGGUUAAUACCCAUCAGGAAAGACAUCACUCACAGAAGAAGCACCGGCUAACUCCGUGCCAGCAGCCGCGGUAAUACGGAGGGUGCGAGCGUUAAUCGGAAUUACUGGGCGUAAAGCGCGCGUAGGUGGCUUGAUAAGCCGGUUGUGAAAGCCCCGGGCUCAACCUGGGAACGGCAUCCGGAACUGUCAAGCUAGAGUGCAGGAGAGGAAGGUAGAAUUCCCGGUGUAGCGGUGAAAUGCGUAGAGAUCGGGAGGAAUACCAGUGGCGAAGGCGGCCUUCUGGACUGACACUGACACUGAGGUGCGAAAGCGUGGGUAGCAAACAGGAUUAGAUACCCUUGUAGUC